rnacentral:rRNA from 1 species
CGUAGGGGGCAAGCGUUGUCCGGAAUCAUUGGGCGUAAAGAGCGUGUAGGCGGUCCGGUAAGUCGGCUGUGAAAGUCCAGGGCUCAACCCUGGGAUGCCGGUCGAUACUGCCGGACUAGAGUUCGGAAGAGGCGAGUGGAAUUCCCGGUGUAGCGGUGAAAUGCGCAGAUAUCGGGAGGAACACCUAUGGCGAAGGCAGCUCGCUGGGACGUUACUGACGCUGAGACGCGAAAGCGUGGGGAGCAAACAGGAUUAGAUACCCCUGGUAGUCCACGCCGUAAACGAUGGGCACUAGGUGUGGGAGGUGUCGACUCCUCCCGUGCCGGAGCUAACGCAUUAAGUGCCCCGCCUGGGGAGUACGGCCGCAAGGCUA